rnacentral:rRNA from 1 species
UGUUAAGUUGGAUGUGAAAUCCCCGGGCUCAACCUGGAACUGCAUUCAAAACUGACUGACUAGAGUAUGGUAGAGGGUGGUGGAAUUUCCUGUGUAGCGGUGGAAUGCGUAGAUAUGGGAAGGAACACCAGUGGCGAAGGCGACCACCUGGACUAAUACUGACACUGAGGUGCGAAAGCGUGGGGAGCAAACAGGAUUUUAUACCCUGGUAGUCCACGCCGUAAACGAUGUCAACUAGCCGUUGGAAGCCUUGAGCUUUUGGUGGCGCAGCUAACGCAUUAAGUUGACCGCCUGGGGAGUACGGCCGCAAGGUUAAAACUCAAAUGAAUUGACGGGA